GACGAACGCUGGCGGCGUGCUUAACACAUGCAAGUCGAACGAAGAGCGAUGGAAGCUUGCUUCUAUCAAUCUUAGUGGCGAACGGGUGAGUAACGCGUAAUCAACCUGCCCUUCAGAGGGGGACAACAGUUGGAAACGACUGCUAAUACUGCAUACGAUCUAAUCUCGGCAUCGAGGAUAGAUGAAAGGUGGCCUCUACAUGUAAGCUAUCACUGAAGGAGGGGAUUGCGUCUGAUUAGCUAGUUGGAGGGGUAACGGCCCACCAAGGCGAUGAUCAGUAGCCGGUCUGAGAGGAUGAACGGCCACAUUGGGACUGAGACACGGCCCAGACUCCUACGGGAGGCAGCAGUGGGGAAUCUUCCGCAAUGGACGAAAGUCUGACGGAGCAACGCCGCGUGAGUGAUGACGGCCUUCGGGUUGUAAAGCUCUGUUAAUCGGGACGAAAGGCCUUCUUGCGAAUAGUGAGAAGGAUUGACGGUACCGGAAA
rnacentral:rRNA from 1 species